AUACGUAGGGUGCAAGCGUUAAUCGGAAUUACUGGGCGUAAAGCGUGCGCAGGCGGUUUUGUAAGACAGUGGUGAAAUCCCCGGGCUCAACCUGGGAACUGCCAUUGUGACUGCAAGGCUGGAGUGCGGCAGAGGGGGAUGGAAUUCCGCGUGUAGCAGUGAAAUGCGUAGAUAUGCGGAGGAACACCGAUGGCGAAGGCAAUCCCCUGGGCCUGCACUGACGCUCACGCACGAAAGCGUGGGGAGCAAACAGGAUUAGAUACCCUGGUAGUCCACGCCCUAAACGAUGUCAACUGGUUGUUGGGGAUUUAUUUUCUCAGUAACGAAGCUAACGCGCGAAGUUGACCGCCUGGGGAGUACGGCCGCAAGGUUAAAACUCAAAGGAAUUGACGGGG
rnacentral:rRNA from 1 species